rnacentral:rRNA from 1 species
CUAAGCGGAGGAGAAGAAACUAACCAGGAUUUCCCUAGUAACGGCGAGCGAACCGGAAAGAGCCCAGCUUGAAAAUCGUGGUGCCUCGCACCUCGAGUUGUAGUCUGGAGAAGGUCCCUCUGCGGCGCGCCGGACCCAAGUUCCCUGGAAAGGGACGUCAUCGAGGGUGACAACCCCGUCCGUGCCCGGAACGCGUCGCUCCACGAGGACCUGUCUGCGAGUCGGGCUGUUUGGGAAUGCAGCCCUAAUCGGGAGGUAAAUUCCUUCUAAGGCUAAAUAUGGGCAAGAGACCGAUAGCGAACAAGUACCGCGAGGGAAAGAUGAAAAGGACUUUGAAAAGAGAGUUAAAAAGUGCUUGAAAUUGCUGGGAGGGAAGCGAAUGGAAGCUGCGGGUGCGCCCCGGUUGGAUGUGGAACGGCUUCGGCUGGUCCGCCGCUCAACGCGGGGCGCUGGUCAGCGUGGGCCACGGCGCCGGGACAAGAGCGGGGAUUCGCUUCCCGCCUAUGCCGGUGCGGUGGCCGAGGAACGAAGCGCGCGCCUCUUGGCGUGGGUUCGCCCAACUGCGCGCUCGGGACGCUGGCGUAUUGAGCUCUUCAUCCGACCCGUCUUGAAACACGGACCAAGGAGUCUAACAUGUAUGCGAGCCGGUGGGCGGCAAACCCAUUGAGGCGCAAGUAAACUGACAGGUGGGACCCCACCGCAAGGGAGGGAGCACCAUCGACCGACCGUGAUCUUCUGUGAAAGGUUUGAGUGUGAGCAUACCUGUUGGGACCCGAAAGAUGGUGAACUAUGCCUGAGCAGGGCGAAGCCAGAGGAAACUCUGGUGGAGGCUCGUAGCGAUACUGACGUGCAAAUCGUUCGUCAGACUUGGGUAUAGGGGCGAAAGACUAAUCGAACCAUCUAGUAGCUGGUUCCCUCCGAAGUUUCCCUCAGGAUAGCUGGAGCUCGUGUACAAGUUUUAUCAGGUAAAGCGAAUGAUUAGAGGCAUCGGGGGUGUAACACCCUCGACCUAUUCUCAAACUUUAAAUAGGUAAGCCGCCGGGGUUGCUUGGUUGAACCCCGGCACAGAAUGAGAGCUCCAAGUGGGCCA